AUACGUAGGGGGCGAGCGUUGUCCGGAAUGAUUGGGCGUAAAGGGCGCGUAGGCGGCCCGGUAAGUCUGGAGUGAAAGUCCUGUUUUUAAGAUGGGAAUUGCUUUGGAUACUGUCGGGCUUGAGUGCAGGAGAGGUAAGUGGAAUUCCACGUGUAGCGGUGAAUUGCGUAGAGAUUGGGAGGAACACCAGUGGCGAAGGCGACUUACUGGACUGUAACUGACGCUGAGGCGCGAAAGGGUGGGGAGCAAACAGGAUUAGAUACCCUGGUAGUCCACACUGUAAACGAUGAAUGCUAGGUGUAGGGGGUAUCGACCCCUUCUGUGCCGCAGUCAACACAAUAAGCAUUCCGCCUGGGGAGUACGGCCGCAAGGUUGAAACUCAAAUGAAUUGACGGGG
rnacentral:rRNA from 1 species